rnacentral:tRNA from 1 species
UCCCCAGUGGCGCAAUCGGUUAGCGCACGGUACUUAUAAGACAGUAUUUCUGUGAGCAAUGCCGGGGUUGUGAGUUCGAGCCUCACCUGGGGAA